rnacentral:rRNA from 1 species
UACAGGGGGUGCAAACGUUGCUCGGAAUCAUUGGGCGUAAAGCGCACGUAGGCGGUUCGUUAUGUCGGAUGUGAAAGCCCUUGGCUUAACCGAGGAAGUGCAUCCGAAACUGGCGAGCUAGAGUACGAAAGAGGAUCGCGGAAUUCCCGGUGUAGAGGUGAAAUGCGCAGAUAUCAGGAAGAACACCAAUGGCGAAGGCAGCUCUCUGGGACGGUACUGACACUGAGACGCGAAAGCGUGGGGAGCGAACAGG